GAUGAACGCUGGCGGCGUGCCUAAUACAUGCAAGUCGAGCGAACGGACGAGAAGCUUGCUUCUCUGAUGUUAGCGGCGGACGGGUGAGUAACACGUGGAUAACCUACCUAUAAGACUGGGAUAACUUCGGGAAACCGGAGCUAAUACCGGAUAAUAUUUUGAACCGCAUGGUUCAAAAGUGAAAGACGGUCUUGCUGUCACUUAUAGAUGGAUCCGCGCUGCAUUAGCUAGUUGGUAAGGUAACGGCUUACCAAGGCAACGAUGCAUAGCCGACCUGAGAGGGUGAUCGGACACACUGGAACUGAGACACGGUCCAGACUCCUACGGGAGGCAGCAGUAGGGAAUCUUCCGCAAUGGGCGAAAGCAUGACGGAGCAACGCCGCGUGAGUGAUGAAGGUCUUCGGAUCGUAAAACUCUGUUAUUAGGGAAGAACAUAUGUGUAAGUAACUGUGCACAUCUUGACGGUACCUAAUCAGAAAGCCACGGCUAACUACGUG
rnacentral:rRNA from 1 species